AUGCCAGAAGAAUGGAGGCAGAGUAUAUUAGUACCAAUCUUCAAGAACAAGGGGGAUGUUCAAAGUUGUACUAGUUACCGUGGAAUUAAGUUGAUGAACCAUAGAAUGAAGCUAUGGGAAAGAGUCAUUGAGCACCGCUUAAGAAGAAUGACAAGUGUGACCAAAAAUCAGUUUGGUUUCAUGCUUGGGAGGUCAACCAUGGAAGCCAUUUUCUUGGUACGACAGCUUAUGAAGAGAUACAGGGAGCAAAAGAAGGACCUACAUAUGGUGUUCAUUGACUUGGAGAAGGCCUAUGUUAAGAUACUGCGGAAUGUCCUGUGGUGGGCCUUGGAGAAACACAUAGUCUCAACAAAGUACAUUACCCUCAUCAAGGACAUGUAUGAUAAUGUGGUGACAAGCGUUAGAACAAGUGAUGGCGACACCGAUGACUUCCCGAUUAAAAUAGGACUACACCCUGGGUCAGCUUUGAGCCCUUAUCUUUUUUGCUUUGGUGAUGGAUGA
rnacentral:rRNA from 1 species